rnacentral:rRNA from 1 species
UCGAGAAUCUUCCGCAAUGGGCGAAAGCCUGACGGAGCGACACCGCGUGCAGGACGAAGGCCCUCGGGUUGUAAAGCACUUUCGGACGGAACGAAAUCGCGCGGGCGAAUACCCCGCGUGGAUGACGGUACCGUAAGAAGAAGCACCGGCUAACUACGUGCCAGCAGCCGCGGUAAUACGGAGGGUGCAAGCGUUGUUCGGAAUUACUGGGCGUAAAGCGCGUGUAGGUGGUCGAGUAAGUCGAAUGUGAAAGCCCCGGGCUCAACCCGGGAAGUGCAUCCGAAACUGCUCGACUAGAGUCCCGGAGAGGAAGGCAGAAUUCCCAAUGUAGGGGUGAAAUCCGUAGAUAUUGGGAGGAAUACCGGUGGCGAAGGCGGCCUUCUGGACGGUGACUGACACUCAGACGCGAAAGCGUGGGGAGCAAACAGGAUUAGAUACCCACGUAGUCCCUGAGCGGGCUGGCAAGGCGCAU